UACGAAGGGGGCGAGCGUUGUUCGGAUUUACUGGGCGUAAAGGGCGCGCAGGCGGUCUUGAAAGUCAGGCGUGAAAGCCCCGGGCUUAACCUGGGAAUUGCGCUUGAUACUCUGAGACUGGAGUACGGGAGAGGAGAGUGGAAUUCCCAGUGUAGAGGUGAAAUUCGUAGAUAUUGGGAAGAACACCAGUGGCGAAGGCGGCUCUCUGGACCGUAACCGACGCUGAGGCGCGAAAGCGUGGGGAGCAAACAGG
rnacentral:rRNA from 1 species